AUAUCAAUAAGCGGAGGAGAAGAAAUCAACAGAGAUUGCCUCAGUAAUGGCGAGUGAAGCGGCAAAAGCCCAAAAUGGAAAUCUUGGCGCAAGCCACGAAUUGUAAUCUAUAGAGGUUCAGCUCAACGGGUGGUGGCGCAGAAGUGACCUCGAACGGUCCGCCAGAGAGGGUGACAGCCCCGUAUGUGGUGCCAUCGCUUAACGAGCUGGGCUUCGAAGAGUCGGGUUGUUUAGUAUUGCAGCUCUAAUCGGGAGGUAAAUUCCUUCUAAAGCUAAAUAUGGAUGGGAGACCGAUAGCGCACAGUA
rnacentral:rRNA from 1 species